GAUGAACGCUGGCGGCGUGCCUAAUACAUGCAAGUCGAGCGAACAGACGAGGAGCUUGCUCCUCUGACGUUAGCGGCGGACGGGUGAGUAACACGUGGAUAACCUACCUAUAAGACUGGGAUAACUUCGGGAAACCGGAGCUAAUACCGGAUAAUAUAUUGAACCGCAUGGUUCAAUAGUGAAAGACGGUUUUGCUGUCACUUAUAGAUGGAUCCGCGCCGCAUUAGCUAGUUGGUAAGGUAACGGCUUACCAAGGCAACGAUGCGUAGCCGACCUGAGAGGGUGAUCGGCCACACUGGAACUGAGACACGGUCCAGACUCCUACGGGAGGCAGCAGUAGGGAAUCUUCCGCAAUGGGCGAAAGCUUGACGGAGCAACGCCGCGUGAGUGAUGAAGGUCUUCGGAUCGUAAAACUCUGUUAUUAGGGAAGAUCAAAUGUGUAAGUAACUAUGCACGUCUUGACGGUACCUAAUCAGAAAGCCACGGCUAACUACGUG
rnacentral:rRNA from 1 species